AUUUGGGUUGUGAGCCCGACUCGUGAGAUUGGAUUGUGGAUAUGGAUUUGUGGAUUAUUGGAGAAUGAUAUUGGUCGGCGCUCGUAUCACUCUGAUUAGAAUCGAUUGAGGGAUUAAUAUGCAUACCGUUAUCACGAUGUCCUUUUGGGCCAAAUCAUCGGU